rnacentral:rRNA from 1 species
GAUGAACGCUGGCGGCGUGCCUAAUACAUGCAAGUCGAGCGAACGGACGAGAAGCUUGCUUCUCUGAUGUUAGCGGCGGACGGGUGAGUAACACGUGGAUAACCUACCUAUAAGACUGGGAUAACUUCGGGAAACCGGAGCUAAUACCGGAUAAUAUUUUGAACCGCAUGGUUCAAAAGUGAAAGACGGUCUUGCUGUCACUUAUAGAUGGAUCCGCGCUGCAUUAGCUAGUUGGUAAGGUAACGGCUUACCAAGGCAACGAUGCAUAGCCGACCUGAGAGAGUGAUAGGCCACACUGGAACUGAGACACGGUCCAGACUCCUACGGGAGGCAGCAGUAGGGAAUCUUCCGCAAUGGGCGAAAGCCUGACGGAGCAACGCCGCGUGAGUGAUGAAGGUCUUCGGAUCGUAAAACUCUGUUAUUAGGGAAGAACAUAUGUGUAAGUAACUGUGCACAUCUUGACGGUACCUAAUCAGAAAGCCACGGCUAACUUCGUG